CAGACAUAAUGACUGACAGGCUGCCCUGGCUCAGUUAUCACAGUGCUGAUGCUGUCUAUUCUAAAGGUACAGUACUGUGAUAACUGAAGGAUGGCAGCCAUCUUAGCUUCACAAGAACC
rnacentral:pre_miRNA from 15 species